CCCUGCCCUUUGUACACACCGCCCGUCGCACCUACCGAUUGAAUGGUCCGGUGAAGUCUUCGGACUAUAGGUUGCCUUGAGCAACUUGUGGAAAGUUGAGUAAACCUUACCAUUUAGAGGAAGGUGAA
rnacentral:rRNA from 1 species